ACAAGCAUCUUAAAAUAUGAUGGUGCAUCAGCAAUCAAGGCUUUGUAGGUGAGGAGAAUUUUAAAUGUGAUUUUACAGGGAACCAGUGAAGAGCAGCUAAAGAUAUAAAUCUAGAUCCACAUCUAAUAUGAGUGAAGAUUGAGCAUCUGGAUGGCAAUUGUUUGCCUCUAAUGUGUUCUGAAACAGAUUAAGUUGGACUGCUGAUGUAAAAUAACUGAAAGUACUUAUUUACUAUAUUUCAAUGGGGGACAAGAAACACAAUUGCGUCCUUCAAAAUCCUCUGAAUGAAGGACUCAAAGGAUCCUUGACAUUGGAACAGUCAGUCGUUAGAAUUUGGUGAGGUAGCAGUCUUGAAAUUCAACAGUUGAAGGAUCCUUCAUUGGAUUCAAUAUUGAGAAACACCCCCUGUGUUAAGUACAGAAAAAGACGAGAAGUGCAACAAGCACUUCUAGCGAGGCUAAUCAGACACAGACAAGAAAAGGAGAAGGGCAACAUUCUAACUACAGAAAAUUACAGAAGCUAGAGCAGAAGGUCAAAGACCUUCAGCAGCAGAGGGAAGCAACAUUUUUAAAAAAGAUGUCAGAGGUUGAGGUUGACAACUCUAAUUGUUCACCAAGAACGAAAACUUGGAAGGCUGUACAGAAGCAUAGAGUUCCUGCUCAUAUCCACAAUACACUUAUGCACCAAAUGAAAACAAAAUGCAAGUCUGUCAGCUAUAAAGAGAACACAUGCAUUCAGAAGAGCUGUCUCAGACCGGUUGCUCAGAAAAUACAAACUUGUUAAUUUGCUCAGAAAAACAGUAGGUAUCUCCCACAAAGUCUACAACAAGACUAGACAAGCCACAGCUGAGAUUCACCUAUCAGAGAACUGGUAAUAAACAGACCAUGGACAUAGUCAAAAUGUUCUUAAGUUGAGAUGACAAUAGUUGGGCAUCAGCGGGGAAGGAUGAAACAAUCACAAGAUUCAAAAAGAAGAAACAAAAGAGGUUUCUCUCUGACACUGCUGAAUUUGCAUCAGAAGUUGAUGCUGGAGAUGCCUCAUCUGAAGCUGCCCUAUUCACUUUUCUGCAGGACAAAACCUUUUUGGAUUGUUGCCCCAAACAUCAACAACAGGGUGAUGUGUGUCUGUAAACUGCAUGACAAUGUCCACAUGAAAGCAGACAAGUCCAGCAGCAGGCAUUAUUAACUCACCGAGCUUAAGCAAAGUCGCAGAGGAGUUGUGCUGUGACACUCAGGCUAAAGUGUGCAUAUACAGGUAAUGUCUUUCAUGUAAGAACAAGUCUCUCACACACACUACAAGUACUGGUACAUCAGGAACAGAAGCCACAUGGUGGUACCAGUGGCUCAUGAAAAAAGAAGAUUAUAAAAAAGAGAAGGACGGAGAAAGAGAGAAGAUCACUGUGACAAAAACGGUUAAACAGAUGUGAGGGCAGCCCCCCCCCCUUGGAAGAGAUGUAACAUCUGAACCAACAGCCCCAGAAGAUGCAAGCCAUUCCAUCUCAAGCUCUGGGUGUGAAGGGACUCUCUGUCUAGUUGAUGACUUCACUGAAGACAUUUUUGGAAAGUGGUGUGUCAUCACAUAUGACGACCCAUAUCCUGGAAUCAUUGAAGACGUAGAAGGUGCCCUUGAGGUCAAAGUCAUGCACAACAUUGGGUGAAACCACUUUUAUUGACCGCGACUAGAGGACAAGAUCUGGUACACAGUGGACAAGGUCGUCACCUUAAUCCAGUGCCGGCUGGCCAAUAGAGGGCCACGGGGCCUGGCCCCACCUUGAGCCACAAAAAAAAAAAAAA